rnacentral:lncRNA from 1 species
GCGGCAUAUGGGUUCCCAGGCUAGGGGUGUCCAAUUGGAGCUGUAGCCACCGGCCUACACCACAGUCACAGCAACUCGGGAUCCAAGCCACACCUGCAAUCUACACCACAACAACGCCAGAUCCUUAACCCAAUGAGCAAGGCCAGGGAUUGAACCUGUGUCCUCAUGGAUACUAGUCAUGUUUGUAAACCACUGAGCCGUGACAGCAACUCCCAUACCUACGUGUGUUUUAAACCAAGGAGCGGAAAAACCUUGUCAGAUUUCUCUUGCAUCACUUCUCACUCAACCUGCUGGAACACCUUACAUGCACAAACUCCCCAAACUGCCAGGGACCUCCAGGCCUAGGCAAGCCUCCCAGAGCUCCUGCUGCAGGCUGAGACCCAGGCUUUCCUGUUGACAGGAAACGGGACCCAGGAUGGCUUGGUCUGUAGAAAUGCCCUGAGUGAUUCCAAACUACACCAAAUACUCAGCUCUGCAACAGCUCUCAGGCUCGGGUGUGGACCCUGGGGUCAAGGUCUGGCAAGUGAAAAACCUGAAUUUUUAUAAAACUGGUCAUGGGAAAACAGGAAGAUCACAGAAGGUGGUGAAAUCCUCACCAAGGCCAACGAUUGCACAACACAUCACUCCCUGGAGCACAUUUUUCCACCUGCUCUAACACUAAAAAUUUGGGAGUGUUUCGAGUUACUUGAGAAUUUACCCACCCCAGCCAUUUUCCCUCUUAGAAGCUCUUCCAGGGUUUCUGUCAGAAAUUUCUUUUCUGUUCAAGGAAGUGGGAAACUCCAAGGAAUCGGAGGACGAGCAGUGUAAGACAUAACUGGGCAGAGCCAUCCCUCCUUGUAAUUAAAACCAUCGUGUGGCCUGCAGUCUAGAGAAAUCCCGUGUAUACGUGGACACGUGAAGGUCCUGGGCCAUAACGUGGUCAACGCUACGUGGAAAGCAAUUCAGGGCCAAACAGGUGUGGCUCGAGGCGUUCCUUCAGGACCGGCCCUGUCUGGGUGGAGACGGGGGAAGAAAGAGGUCAGGGAGCUGUGACCAGCAAAGGAGCACAAAGACCAGGACUGUCAGACUGUGUGAGACAGACGCCACCUCCCUAACCUGCCCCCAGGUCCCUUUCUGCGCUCUGCCCCAGUGAGGACUUGAGAAUAAAACUGGCUUAUGACAUGGACUGGCCUGUGUUGAUGAGUGGAUAAGGUCUCUGUCCAUUAAAGGGUCACACAUGAGAUUUUUUCUUCCCUGGCUCUUCUGAGCCCUGCGGCAGGGGGGCCUGGCCUCAGCAGGCUCUGUUCUCUCUGCUCACUGCUUUGGCUUCCUCCACCGGUCAGCUCUCCACAGCUUGGGAAGGUUCCCACAUACAGACGUGAGCCUGAGACAAGGUUAAGAGGUCUGUUUAGGGCAAGAGGCUGAACUCCAUGAAAUUACCUGAGCCCUGCCACAGGCUAUGCGUGACCACAAAAUAAGGCCAUGCACUGAUUCUUGUCUGAGGCUGCUGUUCCAUGUGUACGGCUUCUGCGGGAGUCCUGGGGGAGGAGGGCUGUGGGGAACCCUGGGUUCUUCAAUAACUCCACCCCAACCCCGAAAGCACUCUCAAGGACAUAGGAUGUAGAGCAUGCUGUCAAAUUUCCUGGUCUUUUCUGUGCACCUAAUGCUGGGCUGGUAUUUAUAGCUUCAUAUCCUUGAAACUGAUUUGUUCUAGAUGUUACUGCAGAGCACUCCUUAAAGGAUAAAAGUAAAAUCAUCUGCAUUUUACUUUCAUGCAAAGAUGACAGUGGCAAUAACGUGAGCAUUCAACAAACAUUUUCUUGGGUUAGACUGGAUUUGAAACAUCUUCGGUUGCUAAAGAAACAAAACAUGUCCCUAUCCACUCCUUCAACACCAAGACGUAAUUUUAUUUGCGCAGUAACACGAAUACAUGAAUACCGUUCAACGUGCGGGGCUUUUUUUUUUCUGUGCAAGAUAGGUAAGCAUCAGGCUGUUGUAAUCAGGUGACUUUUUAGGUUUCUCAAAGCGGCACAAAUUUCUCUGAAUGACAAACAUUCCAGAAAUACGAAUCCACACUUAGCGCUUAUCUGAUACCAGUCUCUUCAAAGUUCCAAAGCUCUCAACAGCACAUCUGCUCUGCACACGAGGGAAAACCACUACCCAACCCCUCGUUGCACCGCGCAUCCCCGAACGAGGCGAAGACGGAAGCAGGAGCAACGCCCUGCGCGCGCGCGCGGGCGCGAGGGGCGGUGCGGCACAGGGCCAGCGGCUUCCCGGGUCCCUGGCACCGUUACGCAGGCCGAGCCGGUCCUCCGUCUUCCUUCCCGGGCAGGAUGGGGGCUCCUCGGCUGGAAGGCAAGAUGGCUGCCAUC